AGUAACACGUGGGUAACCCGCCUUAUAGUGGGGGAUAGCCUUUCGAAAGGAAGAUUAAUACCGCAUAAGAUUGUAGUAUCGCAUGAUAUAGCAAUUAAAGGAGCAAUUCGCUAUAAGAUGGACCCGCGUCGCAUUAGCUAGUUGGUGAGGUAAUGGCUCACCAAGGCGACGAUGCGUAGCCGACCUGAGAGGGUGAUCGGCCACAUUGGGACUGAGACACGGCCCAGACUCCUACGGGAGGCAGCAUG
rnacentral:rRNA from 1 species